rnacentral:rRNA from 1 species
GAAGGGGGCUAGCGUUAUUCGGAAUUAUUGGGCGUAAAGGGCGCGUAGGCGGAUUAGUAAGUUAAAAGUGAAAUCCCAAGGCUCAACCUUGGAAUUGCUUUUAAAACUGCUAAUCUAGAGAUUGAAAGAGGAUAGAGGAAUUCCUAGUGUAGAGGUGAAAUUCGUAAAUAUUAGGAGGAACACCAGUGGCGAAGGCGUCUAUCUGGUUCAAAUCUGACGCUGAGGCGCGAAGGCGUGGGGAGCAAACAGGAUUAGAUACCCUGGUAGUCCACGCUGUAAACGAUGAAUGUUAAAUAUGGGGAGUUUACUUUCUGUAUUACAGCUAACGCGUUAAACAUUCCGCCUGGGGACUACGGUCGCAAGAUUAAAACUCAAAGGAAUUGACGGGGACCCGCACAAGCGGUGGAGCAUGUGGUUUAAUUCGAUGCAACGCGAAAAACCUUACCACUCCUUGACAUGGAAAUUAUACCUAUUCGAAGGGAUAGGGUCGGUUCGGCCGGGUUUCACACAGGUGU